GUUAUAUUGUCAGUAGCUCAGUGUUUGCCCUCUGCUUCUGUCCUCUCCAGAGGUCAGCAGUCUCUCUUGACUUUUAACAGUAUAGACUACUUUGUCUGUAUUUGAACUUUAAAUCACCUUACUUACUUUUGCUGAGUAACAUUAAAGACGGUUCUGUCUACUAUAAAUGAAAAAAAGUAUCUAACACAUUAAAAAGAUAAUUAUAUUUAAAAAGUAUUUGUAUACCACUGUGCAGUAUUUCAUCUGAUGUCAGUGGUAUUUGUGCUGUGGUCAGGGAACACUUGACUAAUUUUCUUAUAUUGAAAAGAGGAAACCUGGCAUGAUGGUGCAUGUCUAUAACUCCAGCAACUCAGGAGUCUGAGGCAGGAAGAUCACAAGUUUGAGACCAGCCUCCAUAAUUUAGUGAGACCCUGUCUCAAAAUAAAUAAAAAAGGCUGAGGAUGUAGCUCAAUGAUAAAGCACCCCUGGGUUUAAUCCCAGAACCACCAAAAAGGAAAAUAGAAUUCAAAUAAAAACUAAGUUUUUUAUAACAACAAAGAUAAUAAUAUUUAGGGGGUUUUGUUUUUAAUGCUGAGAUUGAGCCCAGGGGUAUCUUACUGCUGUGCUAUAUUCCUAGUCCUAUUGAUGUUUUUUUAUUUAGAGAAAGGGUGUCACUAAGUUGUCAAGGCUGGCCUUGAACUUGUUAUUCUUCCACCUCAUCCUCCCAAAUAAUGUUUACAUUUUGUUGGUGAUCUACACAUCAUUCUGGUAGACACUGUGUGUCCAUCCACGUUGUAUACCUAGUAGUAUUUUAAUGUAUAUUUGAUAUUUUAUUGCCAGCUAUAACAGCUUGGUUUACUUUAGGCAGCAUUGUAAUUUCUUAUUAGCAAAAUUGAGGCAUAAAGAUUGAUUUGUUCCCUUGUUACAUUGUAACAAAACUAGAUUUAAAAUUAGAGCUCCCAUAUCAUUCUCCAACCACCAGUUAUAAUACCUACCUUCCCUUCCCUAUGGAUUCAGAAGUUCAGCAAAACUUUGAAAUCAUCUAAACUGUUAGGUUCAUUCCUCCAAAGGUCAUACAUAUUUUUAAAAAAUUCUUUCCAGCUGCCCUUCCUUUAUGGAUGCAGUAUCCUGCAAUGUCUAGGUUCUGAGCAGUGCACACAGCAGAUAGUCAGAAAAUGACUUUUAGCCGGACUCUUUUCCCCACUAGACUUGAAGCCUGCAUAAGUAGAGAUCCUUCUGUCUGUCUUGCACAUGCUGAUUUUCAGUACAUAUUGGUCAAAUGAAUGAGCAAUCAAAUGACAUUCUUACUAGGUUUAUAUUAAUGUAAAUACACUUUUGACAAAGUAGUCUCUAGAAAAAGCAAAUGCAUUUAGGACACACUUAACGUCAGAUUGAUUUAUUUUAAAAUACCUUUUUAUGCUUACAAGUUUAGAGUGAAAACCUUUUCACAUCAUUCUUCAGUAUGAGUAUUGUCUAUAGUAACUGAGUAACGGUCUUGGAAUUCUCACAUUAUUUUUCUAAUCAAAUUUUAGGCAAAAGGACCCCUUGGAGAGGAAUCCUAUUAUUUGGCCCACCUGGAACAGGAAAAUCCUAUUUAGCCAAAGCUGUAGCAACAGAAGCAAACAACUCAACAUUUUUUUCAAUAUCUUCCUCUGACCUUGUUUCUAAGUGGCUAGGUGAAAGUGAAAAGUAAGUAGUAAAUCAAGUUUUUUUAGUUUUUUCUUUGCCUCUUAGUUACUAUAUCAAUCUGUAAAAUUAUAUCAUUAGUAGAUACUCAGAGAAGCAACAUACUGUAGUGGUCAGCUGGGCACGGUGGCGCACGCCUGUAAUCCCAGCCACUGGGGAGGCUGAGACAGGAGGAUUGCAAGUUCAGUGCCAGCCACAGCAAAAACGAGGCACUAAGCAACUCAGUGAGACCCCGUCUCUAAAUAAAAUACAAAAUAGGGUUGGGGAUGUGGCUUAAUGGUUGAGUACCCCUGAGUUCGAUCCCCUGUGCCCCCUCCAACAGAAAAAGAGUUAGUCCCAUAAUGCAUCAUUCCAUAAUUAAGAAUUAUCGGAAAAAGUGCAUUAGUAAAAAUUGUAAAAUGAAUUAUCUAGCUAUUGCAUUCUUGUAGCAUUGGUGUAUUGCUUUGCUUUAGUCUCAUAUUAGUUUUUUAGAUUCUGAAAAUUUUUGUUUUUAGACUAGUUAAGAACUUAUUCCAGCUUGCCAGAGAGAACAAGCCUUCUAUUAUUUUCAUUGAUGAAAUUGACUCUCUCUGUGGUUCAAGAAGUGAAAAUGAAAGUGAAGCUGCACGAAGAAUUAAGACUGAGUUCCUGGUUCAAAUGCAAGGUAGUAAUGCUGAUUUUCAAAAUAGCUUCUGUCUAUUAUAUA
rnacentral:lncRNA from 1 species